GCAAAACGCGAAGAACCUUACCUACUCUUGACAUCCAGAGAACUUAGCAGAGAUGCUUUGGUGCCUUCGGGAACUCUGAGACAGGUGCUGCAUGGCUGUCGUCAGCUCGUGUUGUGAAAUGUUGGGUUAAGUCCCGCAACGAGCGCAACCCUUAUCCUUUGUUGCCAGCGGUUCGGCCGGGAACUCAAAGGAGACUGCCAGUGAUAAACUGGAGGAAGGUGGGGAUGACGUCAAGUCAUCAUGGCCCUUACGAGUAGGGCUACACACGUGCUACAAUGGCAUAUACAAAGAGAAGCGACCUCGCGAGAGCAAGCGGACCUCAUAAAGUAUGUCGUAGUCCGGAUUGGAGUCUGCAACUCGACUCCAUGAAGUCGGAAUCGCUAGUAAUCGUGGAUCAGAAUGCCACGGUGAAUACGUUCCCGGGUCUUGUACACACCG
rnacentral:rRNA from 1 species